ensembl:snoRNA SNORA70 Small nucleolar RNA SNORA70
CUACAGUCAAUUAAGCCAAUCGUGUUCCUUUCCUUGCAAGGGCACAGUGUGCGAUGGCUGCGAAUGGCAGCCUUCUCGGAAGUGUGUGGCCCUGUUGCUUGUAUGCUGUAUGUGAUGCCCUGAGGAACCUUGGAGACAGCC